rnacentral:lncRNA from 7 species
GGAUGAGUGCAGCUGAGAGAGAGUGACAGAGUGCAACUGAGCAGAAGUGGCUGAAGCAGGAUUUGUCCAGCACUCUGUUUUUUUGAGGCCAGAAUGCAGCGCUUUCCACUGUGUCAUAAAGAAGUGAAACAGGAAAAUGGAAAGUUCUGUUCUACUACAAGCCCUUGGUUCUCUAACUCAAAUAUUGAGAAGAAAUAUCAAGAAUGAAUUGAGCUGCAACAGAAAGCACAGAAGCUGGCACCUUCCCAUUGCUCGUUACUUAAACAACACCGAGAGUCCAGAAGUGGGUAAAACUUCAGCCUCUGAUUUUCCAUUUUUCUGAAAGAAUGUAAACUAGAACACAUUAACCACUAACGGUCUGGCAGAAGCAUUUUGUUGAAGAGGAGCUGCCAGUUCUAAUAUCAUAUGUCACAUUUAUAAGCAUUAGGAAAUCCAUGGAGAUUCAGAUACUCUUCAGGAAAAUAUCAUGUUGAAAGGGUUUACCCAUGCAGACUCAUAGCUAUGGAACAUCCAUUAGACCACUGGCAAACAGAAGGUGGUAUGCCAAAGCCAGAAGUCGGAACCUACCCAGAAGCUGGUAUGUCAAGAUGAGAAGCCGAUGGAGGUGCAGCCUCUAUUUGCUCUUCCGCAGCCUGCAGCACUGCCAACCAGAAGGUACCUCAGAGCCCUUUCCCAAAGCAUGCUCUUUCAGAAUAAGUGAUUUCAUUACAUGAGGAACUGGGCAUGGAUUAUUUUUACAGAAACAGAAAAUGAAUCUUUGUUAUUCUGAAAAUAGCUGCCGAGGUACACUAAGUUCCAUUCAGCUACAGCUCGGAAUAAAAGGAGACUCAUCCCUUC